rnacentral:lncRNA from 1 species
AGAAGGCAAUCAAAGCAAAGACAUCAAGAGUUUAGCAGUUCUCUGUGAAAAUGUCCCAGAUCUUCAGAGGUUCAUAGAUCAGCUGCAUCUGACUUUAUUGGAGAGCUUUACUUUUAACAUCAAGGUGAUCAAGACAGUUAGGUGUCAGGUGUUUGUGGGUUUUUUUCUGACAUGCUAGUACUGCACUGUACUUUACUGGGAAUUUUUAACUGUGGAGAAAAUGUCAAAUAAGAUUACCUUCAAGACACACAAAAAUGGGUCUCAGCUACUCUGAGGACACCAGAAACUAUGUAAUGAUGUGAAGAAAGGACCUGCAAGCCAUGGAAUGAAGAAAAUAUCUUUGCAGGAGCAGUGUUUCUUGCAGAUCUCUGGAGAGUCAAGAAAAUGCAGUCUAGCUGCCCCAAAUGGCUUUCUGGAGAAUUAAGUAUGUCUCCUGGGGAAAUAAAGGAACACUACUGGUAAAUGCA